GGAAAGACUGGAGGCUAAAUAAAAACUAGAAUUGUACUUUGAUGGGGAAUGAUUAUAAAACUCAAAUGAUAUAAUAUGGAAAAUAUUAAUAUGGUUCCUGGGACACGGUAGGUGGUCAAUGAGUGUGAGCUCUCCCUCAUCAAUGAAGAAAGCCUGGGAGAUUCAGGAGAGGCAACAUAUUAGGGACUCUUUCCACUGCCAGGCUCCAGCGUACACCAAUUCAACUGUGGGAUAG
rnacentral:lncRNA from 1 species